rnacentral:lncRNA from 1 species
AUGAUAUUGGCAUUUCCUAAGCAAUCCAUCCAAUAACUUCAAACAAAUUGGGUCAUCAUCAACAGCAAGAACUCUCAUACCAAUAGGAAAAUUAUCAUAAUUCUCCCUUUCCUCCACAGUCAUCUUUGAAACCACAAAUUGAAAAAUACCCAAAAGCUAAAAAAGAUCAGUUAAACUGAAUUAUUCUCCCUUUCCUCCACAGUCAUCUUUAAAACCACAAAUUGAAAAAUACCCAAAAGCUAAAAAAGAUCAGUUAAACUGAAUCUGGAAAAAAGAUUAAAACUUUAGCAUAAAACCACAAAAAGAUUAAAACUUUAGCAUAUUUCCUCUAAUUUCCUCAAUAGUCAUAUCUAAAACCAUAUAUUGAAAAACACCCAGAAGAGAAAAAAGAUUACUUAAACUGUAUCUUGAAAAAAGAUUAAAACUUUACCAUAAAAGAUUAAAACUUUAGUAUAUUUCCUCUAAUUUCCUCCACAGUUAUCACUAAACCACAAAUUGAAAAACACCCAAAAGCUAAAAAAGAUCACUUAAACUGAAUCUUGAGAAAAAGAUUAAAACUUUAGCAUAAAAACAUAAAAAGGGUCACUUUCUUAA